rnacentral:lncRNA from 1 species
AAAAGGUAAAGUUAAAUACUUCAGAGAGAAAAAACAAGAGCUUUUGACGAAAAUUUUAAUUCGGUAAAAUCUAUUUUCUGAAAUAUUGUGCUGUUGUAUGGAAUAAUUGAUGAACUCGGUUAUGACUUACCUAACAACUGCUAGGUAGUUAAAAGAAACAAUAACAAUGAAAGCAGAGAUUAGAAUAAGUACCUGGAGACAGGAUGUAAUUGAUAGCUUAUGAUGAAUGCAUGUGGACUGAGUUUCCUCUGUUUUUCUCUCUGUAUUCUCUCCCUCUUUGCGUCUGAGUACUUCCCCUUGACCCUUACCUAUUCCCUUCUCUGUCAUAUUCCCUCUCUCUCAAUUCUUUCCUGGAUCAUUUGGAUACAAGUUUAGAGAGACAAUUUACUUUAUUUGAAGUGGAUGGGAAACUAGGAAAUUAUAGUUUGUGUUUUAUUUUCUUAAAGUACUUAUCAACUGUGGAUAUUUCUUUUCAAGUUCGAUUUAAUUUUUGAACUAUCAUUUAGGGCCACCACAGAACUAGCAAGAAAGCUAAAUUAAACAAGCACAAAAUCUCAUUUUGUUACUUUAGAGACUAAGUUAAACAAGCACCAAGUUUCAUUGUGUUUGAAGCUUUGUUUAAUUUAGAUUAGUUUAAAGCUUACAAUCUACGUAAGGUUUUUGGAUUUUUUUUUUUUGAAAUAAAAUGCACAAGUUACCAAAGGGGUACCGUUCAUAUACAAAAUAGUUAUAGAUCUAUCAAUUGGUCAAUGACCGCACCCAUAUCGUCAAUAUCUUUAAUAUCAUGACAUAACAAAAUAGAUCUAAAAGUAUGUAUCCAUCUAUCCUUAAUGUCACCAAAAUUAGUUUCUACCCCCUCAAAAGCUCUAACAUUUCUUUCUUUCCAAAUUAGCCAAAAAAUAGUAAGUAGAAUAAGAAAUAGAUGCCUCCCCUUUUCUUUACACUACCCCUCUCAAGCCCAAAGUUCAUUACUUACACUACCCGCUAUAACCUAAUCCACUCCAAUAAGCCUCAAAACAGCAAACCAAAUGUUGUAAGUGACAAGUCAGGCCAAUAACAAGUGGAAACGGGUCUCCUCAUCAGCUUUGCAUAAGAAACACCUGUUA